rnacentral:pre_miRNA from 2 species
UUUUAUGCAUGAGCAUAGAAUGUGGUUUCUUGAGAUGAAAUCUACUUCUGAUGAAGAUGCUGUGAA